GGGGUUGUGACUCAGUGGUAGAGCACCUGCCUUGCAUGCAUGAGGCCCUGGGUUUGAACCUCAGCACCA
rnacentral:tRNA from 1 species